rnacentral:rRNA from 1 species
UACGUAGGGUGCGAGCGUUAAUCGGAAUUACUGGGCGUAAAGCGUGCGCAGGCGGUUUGCUAAGAUCGAUGUGAAAUCCCCGGGCUUAACCUGGGAACUGCAUUGGUGACUGGCAGGCUAGAGUAUGGCAGAGGGGGGUAGAAUUCCACGUGUAGCAGUGAAAUGCGUAGAGAUGUGGAGGAAUACCGAUGGCGAAGGCAGCCCCCUGGGCCAAUACUGACGCUCAUGCACGAAAGCGUGGGGAGCAAACAGG